rnacentral:rRNA from 1 species
AACGAACGCUGGCGGCAUGCCUAACACAUGCAAGUCGAACGAGACCUUCGGGUCUAGUGGCGCACGGGUGCGUAACGCGUGGGAACCUGCCCUUAGGUUCGGAAUAACUCCCCGAAAGGGGUGCUAAUACCGGAUAAUGUCUUCGGCCCAAAGAUUUAUCGCCUUUGGAUGGGCCCGCGUGGGAUUAGCUAGUUGGUAGGGUAAAAGCCUACCAAGGCGACGAUCCAUAGCUGGUCUGAGAGGAUGAGCAGCCACACUGGGACUGGGACACGGCCCAGACUCCUACGGGAGGCAGCAGUGGGGAAUAUUGGAAAAUGGGGGAAAGCCUGAUCGAGCAAGGCCGCGUGAGUGAUGAAGGCCUUAGGGUUGUAAAGCGCUUUUACCCGGGAUGAUAAUGACAGUACCGGGAGAAUAAGCACCGGCUAACUACGUG